rnacentral:lncRNA from 10 species
AAAAAAAACAAAACAAAACAAAAAACAUGUCAUAAAGAAGUCACAGCACUUCCUGCCCUUUUUCCAGCUCUUGGCUCCUCUGUGGUAGGUCAGAAGGGGAAUGCAGAGGUGCCACCUCCUGAGGGAUAAUAGCUGUCCAAAAUCGAUGUCCCUUCCAUCUUCUCAGGGCAGCUUCUUUGUCUUCCUGCUUCCCAAUCCUCUCAUCCCACCCAUAUAACCUCCCUGGUCCCUCACCUCACUGAGCACUAGGAUGCCAUCUCUGCCCUGUUUCUCCAUCUCCAGCCUCAUGCUCUUGCGCAGUCUCCAUGCAUUUAGAGCUUUCUCUGUGAGCUCUCC